rnacentral:rRNA from 1 species
UACGGGGGGGGCAAGCGUUGUUCGGAAUUACUGGGCGUAAAGGGCUCGUAGGCGGCCAACUAAGUCCGACGUGAAAUCCCCAGGCUUAACCUGGGAACUGCGUCGGAUACCGGAUGGCUUGAAUUCGGGAGAGGGAUGCAGAAUUCCAGGUGUAGCGGUGAAAUGCGUAGAUAUCUGGAGGAAUACCGGUGGCGAAGGCGGCAUCCUGGACCGACAUUGACGCUGAGGAGCGAAAGCUAGGGGGGCAAACGGG